rnacentral:rRNA from 1 species
GAUGAACGCUAGCGGCAGGCUUAAUACAUGCAAGUCGAGGGGCAUCAAGGUACACGAAAGUGUAUUGUUGGCGACCGGCGGACGGGUGAGUAAUAGGUAGGUAACCUACCUCAUACUGAGGCAUAGCUGGGAGAAAUUCCAGGUAAUUCCUCAUGAGGUUAUAUGACACAUGUGAUAUAAUCAAAGGUAUCGCAAGGUACUGGUAUGAGAUGGGCUUACUGACCAUUAGCUAGUUGGUGAGAUAAGAGCUCACCAAGGCGAAGAUGGUUAGGGGUUUGAGAGAGAGAUCCCCCACAUUGGAACUGAGAUACGGUCCAGACUCCUACGGGAGGCAGCAGUAGGGAAUAUUGGGCAAUGGGCGGAAGCCUGACCCAGCCAUGCCGCGUGAAGGAAGACGGCCUUAUGGGUUGUAAACUUCUUUACUAUGCGACUAACUAGAUUUACAAGAUAAUUCUAUAGAAUGUAGCAUAGCAAAAAGCACCGGA